rnacentral:rRNA from 1 species
GAUGAACGCUGGCGGCGUGCCUAAUACAUGCAAGUCGAGCGAACAGACGAGGAGCUUGCCCCUCUGACGUUAGCGGCGGCCGGGUGAGUAACACGUGGAUAACCUACCUAUAUGACUGGGAUAACUUCGGGAAACCGGAGCUAAUACCGGUCAAUAUAUUGAACCGCAAGGUCUAUUAGUGAAAGACGGUUUUGCUGUCCUUAUUAGAUGGAUCCGCGCCGCAUUAGCUAGUUGGUAAGGUAACGGCUUACCACGGGAACGAUGCGUAGCCGACCUGAGAGGGUGAUCGGCCACACGAGAACUGAGACACGGUCCAGACUCCUACGGUAGGCAGCAGUAGGGAAUCUUCCGCAAUGGGCGAAAGCCUGACAGAGCAACGCCGCGUGAAGGAUGAAGGUCUUCGGAUCGUAAAACUCUGUUAUUAGGGAAGAACAAAUGUGUAAGUAACUAUGCACGUCUUGACGGUACCUGAGCAGAAAGCCACGGCUAACUACGUG